AUACGGAGGGUGCAAGCGUUGUUCGGAAUUAUUGGGCGUAAAGAGCAUGUAGGCGGACUAUUAAGUCUGGUGUGAAAGCCCGGGGCUCAACCCCGGAAGUGCAUUGGAUACUGGUAGUCUUGAGUAUGGGAGAGGAAAGUGGAAUUCCGAGUGUAGGAGUGAAAUCCGUAGAUAUUCGGAGGAACACCAGUGGCGAAGGCGGCUUUCUGGACCAAUACUGACGCUGAGAUGCGAAAGCGUGGGGAGCGAACAGGAUUAGAAACCCUAGUAGUCC
rnacentral:rRNA from 1 species